GGUUAAGCGAACAAGCGUACACGGUGGAUGCCCUGGCAGUCAGAGGCGAUGAAGGACGUGCUAAUCUGCGAAAAGCGCCGGUAAGGUGAUAUGAACCGUUAUAACCGGCGAUGUCCGAAUGGGGAAACCCGGUGCACUUCGGUGCAUCAUCGUUAGCUGAAUACAUAGGCUAACGAGGCGAACCGGGGGAACUGAAACAUCUAAGUACCCCGAGGAAAAGAAAUCAACCGAGAUUCCCCCAGUAGCGGCGAGCGAACGGGGAACAGCCCAGAGCCUGAAUCAGCUUGUGUGUCAGUGGAACGGUCUGGAAAGGCCGGCGAUACAGGGUGACAGCCCCGUACACGAAGGCACACAGGCUGUGAGCUCGAUGAGUAGGGCGGGACACGUGAUAUCCUGUCUGAAGAUGGGGGGACCAUCCUCCAAGGCUAAAUACUCCUGACUGACCGAUAGUGAACCAGUACCGUGAGGGAAAGGCGAAAAGAACCCCGGCGAGGGGAGUGAAACAGAACCUGAAACCGUGUACGUACAAGCAGUGGGAGCCUUCGUAAGAGGGUGACUGCGUACCUUUUGUAUAAUGGGUCAGCGACUUAUAUUCUGUAGCAAGGUUAACCGUAUAGGGGAGCCGAAGGGAAACCGAGUCUUAACCGGGCGUUAAGUUGCAGGGUAUAGACCCGAAACCCGGUGAUCUAGCCAUGGGCAGGUUGAAGGUUGGGUAACACUAACUGGAGGACCGAACCGACUAAUGUUGAAAAAUUAGCGGAUGACCUGUGGCUGGGGGGUGAAAGGCCAAUCAAACCGGGAGAUAGCUGGUUCUCCCCGAAAGCUAUUUAGGUAGCGCCUCGUGAACUCAUCUCCGGGGGUAGAGCACUGUUUCGGCUAGGGGGCCAUCCCGGCUUACCAACCCGAUGCAAACUGCGAAUACCGGAGAAUGUUAUCACGGGAGACACACGGCGGGUGCUAACGUCCGUCGUGAAGAGGGAAACAACCCAGACCGCCAGCUAAGGUCCCAAAGUCAUGGUUAAGUGGGAAACGAUGUGGGAAGGCCCAGACAGCCAGGAUGUUGGCUUAGAAGCAGCCAUCAUUUAAAGAAAGCGUAAUAGCUCACUGGUCGAGUCGGCCUGCGCGGAAGAUGUAACGGGGCUAAACCAUGCACCGAAGCUGCGGCAGCGACACUCUGUGUUGUUGGGUAGGGGAGCGUUCUGUAAGCCUGCGAAGGUGUGCUGUGAGGCAUGCUGGAGGUAUCAGAAGUGCGAAUGCUGACAUAAGUAACGAUAAAGCGGGUGAAAAGCCCGCUCGCCGGAAGACCAAGGGUUCCUGUCCAACGUUAAUCGGGGCAGGGUGAGUCGACCCCUAAGGCGAGGCCGAAAGGCGUAGUCGAUGGGAAACAGGUUAAUAUUCCUGUACUUGGUGUUACUGCGAAGGGGGGACGGAGAAGGCUAUGUCGGCCGGGCGACGGUUGUCCCGGUUUAAGCGUGUAGGCUGACUUUCCAGGCAAAUCCGGAAAGUUAAGGCUGAGGCGUGAUGACGAGGCACCACGGUGCUGAAGUGACAAAUGCCCUGCUUCCAGGAAAAGCCUCUAAGCAUCAGGUAACAUCAAAUCGUACCCCAAACCGACACAGGUGGUCAGGUAGAGAAUACCAAGGCGCUUGAGAGAACUCGGGUGAAGGAACUAGGCAAAAUGGUGCCGUAACUUCGGGAGAAGGCACGCUGACAUGUAGGUGAAGCCCCUGCGGGUGGAGCUGAAGUCAGUCGAAGAUACCAGCUGGCUGCAACUGUUUAUUAAAAAAAACACAGCACUGUGCAAACACGAAAGUGGACGUAUACGGUGUGACGCCUGCCCGGUGCCGGAAGGUUAAUUGAUGGGGUUAUCGCAAGAGAAGCUCCUGAUCGAAGCCCCGGUAAACGGCGGCCGUAACUAUAACGGUCCUAAGGUAGCGAAAUUCCUUGUCGGGUAAGUUCCGACCUGCACGAAUGGCGUAAUGAUGGCCAGGCUGUCUCCACCCGAGACUCAGUGAAAUUGAACUCGCUGUGAAGAUGCAGUGUACCCGCGGCAAGACGGAAAGACCCCGUGAACCUUUACUACAGCUUGACACUGAACAUUGAGCCUUGAUGUGUAGGAUAGGUGGGAGGCUUUGAAGCGUGGACGCCAGUCUGCGUGGAGCCGACCUUGAAAUACCACCCUUUAAUGUUUGAUGUUCUAACCUGGCGCCGUAAUCCGGCGUGGGGACAGUGUCUGGUGGGUAGUUUGACUGGGGCGGUCUCCUCCCAAAGUGUAACGGAGGAGCACGAAGGUCAGCUAAUCCUGGUCGGACAUCAGGAGGUUAGUGCAAUGGCAUAAGCUGGCUUGACUGCGAGAGUGACGGCUCGAGCAGGUGCGAAAGCAGGUCAUAGUGAUCCGGUGGUUCUGUAUGGAAGGGCCAUCGCUCAACGGAUAAAAGGUACUCCGGGGAUAACAGGCUGAUACCGCCCAAGAGUUCAUAUCGACGGCGGUGUUUGGCACCUCGAUGUCGGCUCAUCACAUCCUGGGGCUGAAGUAGGUCCCAAGGGUAUGGCUGUUCGCCAUUUAAAGUGGUACGCGAGCUGGGUUUAGAACGUCGUGAGACAGUUCGGUCCCUAUCUGCCGUGGGCGCUGGAGAAUUGAGGGGGGCUGCUCCCAGUACGAGAGGACCGGAGUGGACGCAUCACUGGUGUUCGGGUUGUCAUGCCAAUGGCACUGCCCGGUAGCUAAAUGCGGAAGAGAUAAGUGCUGAAAGCAUCUAAGCACGAAACUUGCCCCGAGAUGAGUUCUCCCUGAGACUAUAAGUCUCCUGAAGGAACGUUGAAGACGACGACGUUGAUAGGCCGGGUGUGUAAGCGCAGCGAUGCGUUGAGCUAACCGGUACUAAUGAACCGUGAGGCUUAACCUU
rnacentral:rRNA from 1 species